rnacentral:tRNA from 9 species
GAGCGUGUAGUUCAGUGGUAGAACGCUGUCCUGAUAAGACAGAGGCCGAUGGUUCGAUCCCAUCCACGCUCACCU